rnacentral:tRNA from 1 species
UCCCUCAUAGCUCAGUUGGUAAAGAAUCUGCCUGCAGUGCAGGAGACCCUGGUUCGAUUCCUGGAUGGGGAA